rfam:Picea glauca, whole genome shotgun sequence.
GUAAAGGUGUCCUUAGACACCAUCGAUCUUUUCUAAAGUUAUUUCU